AAUAAUGACCUCGCCCAAACAAAAUAGGAAAUAAAUGACCCAAAUGUAAAACAACCCAAUGAUAAACUCUGAAAAGGGAAAGCGGAGAGACUUAUGUCUCUAGAAUCUAUCAGUUGAAAUUAAUGUCCACACCUCCAUUUCCAUGGAAAUUUCAGUCCAAUGAGAUAAUGAGUAGCACAUCAAUAAUCGAUCUACUAGUUCACCUCAACAAGAACUCAUAAUUUGAUUCAUCGAUUCUUCAGCUAAUUUCGUGCUUCACUGUAAACUAAGUUCCAUUAUACCCUAAUUAUCUUUGGUAUAUAGAGAUUCUGGAUAUGUCGAUCUGUUAAUACAAAAAAUAGGCUACCUGAGACGUGAUUUGUUCUUGGGGAAACUCUCAAAUACUCUCACAGAUGUGGAAAGGUGGAACGAUACCCGACUUUAUAAAAAAUUCCUAGAUGACAUUUGCAAUCAUGUUACGAAGAAAUUUGAGGUAGUUGAGGAUUUUGAAUAAUGGGAUAGACCGUGGUAGCUGAUAAACAGUUCAGGAAAGUUCACUAUUGGAAGUGCUUGGGAACUGCUAUGACAAAUAUGAGAAUAAGCAGGUAUACAAUGAAAUUUAGGGAAAAAUGGUGCCUUUCAAGAUUAGUUUUUUCUUCUAGAGGUUGUGGAAGCAAAGAAUCCUAUUGGAGAAUUUCAAAUAAAAAUAGGACUGGUGAAUAAUGUUGUUUGUUGUUGUUGUGAUAGUGUUCUAGUUGAGACCUUUCAACAUUUGUUUAUGAGUGUUCAAAUACUAAUGAGAUUUUGAAGUUGUUGAUUUCACUUCAUAUUUUGACUCCAAA